UACAGAGGGUGCAAGCGUUGUUCGGAAUUAUUGGGCGUAAAGCGCGUGUAGGCGGCUUUGCAAGUCGGGUGUGAAAGCCCUCAGCUCAACUGAGGAAGUGCGCCCGAAACUGCAGAGCUUGAGUGCUGGAGAGGGUGGCGGAAUUCCCCAAGUAGAGGUGAAAUUCGUAGAUAUGGGGAGGAACACCAGUGGCGAAGGCGGCCACCUGGACGGUAACUGACGCUGAGACGCGAAAGCGUGGGGAGCAAACAGG
rnacentral:rRNA from 1 species